GAGCUGAUAAAUUUUUUUUUUCUUCUUUCUAAGAAUUUUGUUUAUCCCAAGGAUUAUGUGCCACCGGCAACGGUGCGACACAAUAAGGAAUUGAGUCAGCUCCAGAAGCGGCUGGAGCUGACUCAGAAAACUUGGAUAAUGAAGGAUCUUGAACAAAAUAGUCCAGCGAUGAUUGAAACGAUCAAAACCGAAGAAAGAAAUGAUGAAGCCAAAAAAGAUCAUGUUGAAGAAAUCUUAGUGAAGUCAGAUAUACCUUCGAGCAUUGAGUGGACUCCUCCCAAAGGCAAAGAGAAGAAUGCAAAAUAUAGAGUACUUCAGGCGAUUGCAGUAGGGGAAAUUUUCAUAAGUU